rnacentral:miRNA from 1 species
GGCAAUGUCGUCUGAGUGCUGUAGGAGGCCGAGCGAGUCACAUCGUGGUUGUCGGCUUGCGCUGUACAGGACGGGGGGCUGCGAGGGCGUGCCCACAUGCUCCUUGACGUUUAUGCAUUCAUGUAUUGAGCGCAAUGAGUUCUAAGUCACGCUCUGGGAAUCGGCCCCGCAUUAGGGUCGUCGGGCGAUUCAGACUCAGAGGCGGAGAAGGCUC